rnacentral:rRNA from 1 species
GGACCCGCACAAGUAGUGGAGCAUGUGGUUUAAUUCGAAGAUACGCGCAGAACCUUACCAACACUUGACAUGUUUGUCGCGACUCUAAGAGAUUAGAGUUUUCGGUUCGGCCGGACAAAACACAGGUGCUGCAUGGCUGUCGUCAGCUCGUGUCGUGAGAUGUUGGGUUAAGUCCCGCAACGAGCGCAACCCUCACUUUUAGUUGCCAUCAUUUAGUUGGGCACUCUGAAAGAACUGCCAGUGAUAAGCUGGAGGAAGGUGGGGAUGACGUCAAGUCCUCAUGGCCCUUACGUGUUGGGCUACACACGUGCUACAAUGGUAUCUACAACAGGAAGCAAAACUGCGAGGGGGAGCGGAUCUACAAAACCUAUCUCAGUUCGGAUUGCACUCUGCAACUCGAGUGCAUG